UACGAAGGGUGCAAGCGUUACUCGGAAUUACUGGGCGUAAAGCGUGCGUAGGUGGUGAGUUAAGUCUGAUGUGAAAUCCCCGGGCUCAACCUGGGAAUGGCAUUGGAUACUGGCUCGCUAGAGUGCGGUAGAGGGUGGUGGAAUUCCCGGUGUAGCAGUGAAAUGCGUAGAGAUCGGGAGGAACAUCUGUGGCGAAGGCGGCCACCUGGACCAACACUGACACUGAGGCGCGAAAGCUAGGGGAGCAAACAGG
rnacentral:rRNA from 1 species